rnacentral:rRNA from 1 species
CAGCAGCCGCGGUAAUAUGUAGGUGGCAAGCGUUGUCCGGAAUUAUUGGGCGUAAAGCGCAUGUAGGCGGUAAUUUAAGUCUGUCGUGAAACUGCGGGGCUCAGCCCCGUAUGGCGAUGGAAACUGGGUUACUUGAGUGCAGGAGAGGAAAGGGGAACUCCCAGUGUAGCGGUGAAAUGCGUAGAUAUUGGGAAGAACACCGGUGGCGAAGGCGCCUUUCUGGACUGUGUCUGACGCUGAGAUGCGAAAGCCAGGGUAGCGAACGGGAUUAGAUACCCCGGUAGUCCUGGCCGUAAACGAUGGGUACUAGGUGUGGGAGGUAUCGACCCCUUCCGUGCCGGAGUUAACGCAAUAAGUACCCCGCCUGGGGAGUACGGCCGCAAGGCUUUAAACUCAAAUAAAUUGACGG